CUGGCUCAGGAUGAACGCUAGCUACAGGCUUAACACAUGCAAGUCGAGGGGCAGCAUGUUGGUUGCUGCAACCAAUGAUGGCGACCGGCGCACGGGUGAGUAACGCGUAUCCAACCUUCCCCUUAGUAGAGGAUAGCCCGGCGAAAGUCGGAUUAAUACUCUAUGUUCUUCAAUGCGGACAUCUAAGUUGAAGCAAAGAUUUAUCGCUAAGGGAUGGGGAUGCGUCUGAUUAGGUUGCAGGCGGGGUAACGGCCCACCUGGCCUACGAUCAGUAGGGGUUCUGAGAGGAAGGUCCCCCACACUGGUACUGAGACACGGACCAGACUCCUACGGGAGGCAGCAGUGAGGAAUAUUGGUCAAUGGGCGCGAGCCUGAACCAGCCAAGUAGCGUGCAGGAACCGACUGCCCUAUGGGUUGUAAACUGCUUUUAUCAGGGAAUAAAGUGAGGCACGCGUGCCUUUUUGUAUGUACCUGAUGAAUAAGGACCGGCUAAUUCCGUGCCAGCCGCUGC
rnacentral:rRNA from 1 species